CCUCUGUAGGCAGGGACUAUAGCCAUUUUCAGCAGAAACUGAAGAAGAGACCUCCCAUCCCUCAACAUCCAUACUAAUAAUAAGAGAAUUCAUGGCUCUUAGAAAAGAAGUAGGCAGGAAAGUUAGUUAGGAGGUUUUGGGUCUGCCUACAAAGACAUGAGGUCAUACUAUCCUAGAAAGGGUCCACCCUAAUUCACCCACAAUUAAGCAAGCCAGAGGCAUUUUUUAACUCGCGGGAAGCAACCGGUAGGCAAAGAAUUAGGUACUAGUUUAAGCCAGUCACUCACACUUGCGCAAUGAAGACCCCAAGGACCGGCAACUCACCUGAGCCUCGGUAUACCAUCAUUAUAAUAUAAUGUGUAUGCCCAGAAGUUCAUUAAUAUUAUUAGACUGAAUUCUAGGAACAAGCAUGCACAGAAUGCAAAAUGAUGAAUCACUGAGUCCUGUCAAUCUUAGUUGUCAAUCAAGGAAGCCCACUCCUCUAAGAAAAGUAACCACCCACAGCAAAAAGGGAUAAAAACCCCGAAGGCUUUGUCACCAGGCCUUUUGAUCCACGCUUCUCUUGCUCAGACCCUCUUCCACUUCUGGAAAUGCACUUUUCUUUCUAAUAAAACAACUGUAUUUUGGUGUCUUGCUCAAUUCUUUGUUCGAGACAUCAAGAACCUGGACAACGUACCGGGAUAGGAUUCCCUCUCUUCGGUGCAGUCCAAUGAGCUUUUUAGAGGUUUUCUUUCUGAAACACGGAACGCCUUUUCACUCCAAAAAAAAGGAGAGGGACGGAGAGAAGAAAAGAGAAAAACAAUCCUUUAAUAUCGUCACCAUUCUGUUUUAUAACUGUUUAAAAACCAUUCUGUUUUCUUCACCAUUCUGUUUUAUAACUUAAAAGCCAACAAUUUGACAUUUCUGUAUUCACUGUACCCUUUCUCCUGACUGUACAUGACAGACUGAAUUAGGAACAAUUCCCUCCAUUUUUUCUUUUCUCUUUCCCAUAUUUCUUUUGAUAAUGUAUUCAAGUUUUUGUUUUUUAAUAUGCCAUAGAAAAAAUACUGGAACAAAUAUCUCAAACUGUUAACACUUGUCAAUCCUAAAUUAUGAAAAUAUAGUGUCUGUUAUGUUAUUUAAAUAUCUUUGUGUUUUCAAAUUUCUGAAGAUGAAUGAAGAAUAUUUAAUAACAUGGUAGAAUGCUUAAAAUAUAGUAUUAAUUUUUAAAAAGUAUAUAUAUGCAUAUAUAAUAUAAUCAUACAGGCACUACAUAUGUACUAUUACAUGCAUAUACACAUAUGUAUGUAUAUAUGUAUAUAGUAGAAAAAAGAGAAAUAUACCAAAAUGUUAACAAUGGUUUUAUUUGAAUUUUUAAUUUUUUCUGUAUACUUCUCUGUAUCUACCAAUAUCUACCAUAAAAUUUAUUACUUUUAUAUUUAGAAAAAAUGCAAUACUAUUGUUAUUAAUAAAAGUAAAUUAAAGCUCUAACCAGUGGCAAUCGAGUUAGUAGGCUGGUGCUUUAGCUCUAGCAUGACACCAAAUUGCUGGAUGAAGUCAGCCAUUAGCUCCUCCUAUUUGGAAGACUGGACUUGCUCCCUAGAAAACAAGAGUAUUUGUAUUUUUCCCUUGAAAAGAACUGUGUAUCAUUUGGAAAGUGUGUGGUCUUAUAGACAGGCAAUUCCUGACUAGCAAUUUGUUUCAAGGGCAACUGUAAUACAAAUACUCUCCUAUCUCAUGAAAAUGACUUUAUUACCUAGCUUUAUUGAGACAUAAUUGACAAAGAUUAUAUAUAUUUAAGGAAUACAACUUGUUAUACAUAUAUAUUAUGAAAAAAAUCACCGUCAAGCUGGUUAGCAUAACCAUCACCUCACAGUUAUACCGUUUUAUUGUGUGUGUGUGUGUGUGUGUGGUGAGAACAUUUAAGAUUUAUCCUCUUAGCAAAUUUUAAGUAUACAAUACAGCCUUGUUAACUAUAGUCACAUUGCUAUACAUUAGACCUCCAGAACUCACUCAACUUGCAUUACUAAAAUUUUGUACUCCUUGACCAACAUCUUCCCUUCCCCUCCUCCUAGUCCCUAGCAACCACCAUUCUAUCUUCUGCUUUUAUGAGUUUGACUAUUUUAGAUUCCACAUGUAAGUGAAUUUGUACAGUGUUUGUCUUUCUGUCUGGCUUAUUUCACUUAAGUCCUUCAGGUUCAUCCACGUUGUCUCAGAUGGCAGUAUUUCCUUUUGUAAGGCCAAAUAAUAUUCCAAAGGACUUUUCUUAAAGCAAUGAAAUAACCUUA